rnacentral:rRNA from 1 species
ACAGACUCCUACGGGAGGCAGCAGUGGGGAAUAUUGCACAAUGGGGGAAACCCUGAUGCAGCGACGCCGCGUGAAGGAUGAAGUAUUUCGGUAUGUAAACUUCUAUCAGCAGGGAAGAAAAUGACGGUACCUGACUAAGAAGCCCCGGCUAACUACGUGCCAGCAGCCGCGGUAAUACGUAGGGGGCAAGCGUUAUCCGGAUUUACUGGGUGUAAAGGGAGCGUAGACGGCGGCGCAAGCCAGAUGUGAAAGCCCGGGGCUCAACCCCGGGACUGCAUUUGGAACUGUGCCGCUAGAGUGUCGGAGAGGCAGGCGGAAUUCCUAGCGUAGCGGUGAAAUGCGUAGAUAUUAGGAGGAACACCAGUGGCGAAGGCGGCCUGCUGGACGAUGACUGACGUUGAGGCUCGAAAGCGUGGGGAGCAAACAGGAUUAGAUACCCCAGUAAU